CUAAGACAGACACAUGUGCAGGACACAGCCACGGUAAAGGCUGCACCGUUUCUUGACUGUGUGACAGCCUGAAUCCAACCUCAGUGUGCCUCUGUCAGAUUAACAGGAUAGCUGGAAGUCCCGCUGGCCAUCGGACACUCGUUCAUUAGGUGCUAACUAUGUGUCAGGCACUGGGUACUGGGAUGCGAUGGUGAACAAGACAGCCACAGACCAGCUCUCCUUGGAAACUGAGCUCAGAGGUGGAAACCAACCUAAAUAAACGGUCACGAUCAAGCUGUCAGUAGGACCGAUUCCUUGGAGAAACUCUGGAAUGGACUCUUUCAGCUUUGGCACUGAUGACACUUGUGCCAAGCAACUCUUUUGUGUAAGGGGCUGUUUUGUACAGCAUAGCUUGUGCCACGCCUCUAGAAUCCACCUUCUAGAUAACAGGAAUCACAGCUUCUGGAAGUGACCGUGAAGAACGUCUCCAGACUUUGUCAAAUGCUCUGGGAAGCAAAGUCGCAUGCGAACUUGCCAGCCAGUGGGUAGAUGAGGCUGAACCAAUACAUACUGGGUCUGCAUGUGGAAGAAUGAGGCUUGCAGCCAACGGCCGUCCACAUCUCUGAUGAGGAUCAGGUAGGUAAGGACGAGUGGAGGCUGACCAAAGCAGAGCAGCCAAGGACUUGGUCCUAGAAGCCAGGGACAGAGCUUCUGUCAUCUUUAGGAACUCAGAGGACUGAAUGGAGGUGGGGCUGUCAGGCUGGGUGGGUGGUCAACCAUUACAGAAAGUCAGG
rnacentral:lncRNA from 1 species